rnacentral:rRNA from 1 species
UAACAGUUUUUCAAUUGGAAUGAGAUAUGAGAAGAGAAAAAAGCGAGAAACAAGUGGAGGGCAAGUCUGGUGCCAGCAGCCGCGGUAAUACCAACUCAUUCAUACUAAGUAAACCUUGAAGAAAUAUUGACGCUUAAAAUUUGACUUAAGUCAAAGUUCUUUUUGCAUGGGAUUUUGGAAUAUGAGUGGUGGAGUAAAAUCCGCUGCUAAUGACAUUCGAGGAUGAAAGAGGAAGUUAAUAUUUGUGAGUCAGAGGUGAAAUUCUUGGAUUUCACAAAGAUUAACUAAUGCGAAGGCAUUCUUCAAUUGCUUUCCUGUCAAUCAAGAACGAAAGUAAGGGGAUCGAAGACGAUCAGAUACCGUCGUAGUCUUUACAGUAAAUUUUGCCGACAAAGGAAACGGGAAAGACCUAGAAUGCGCCGGGCAACUGGUACAUUUAAUAUCCUCCUGUUUUCUCCCACGAAAGUUUAAGUCUUUGGGUUCUGGGGGGAGUAUGUUCGCAAGGCCGAAACUUAAAGGAAUUGACGGAAAGGCACCACCAGGCUUGGAGCCUGCGGCUUAAUUUGACCCAACACGGGAAAACUUACCAGGUCCAAACAGCGUGAUGAUUGACAGAUUGAGAGCUCUUUCAUGAUUCGUUGGGUGGUGGUGCAUGGCCGUUCUUAGUUGGUGGUGCGAGCUGUCUGGUUGAUUCCGUUAACGAACGAGACCUUUGUAAGAUAAUAGUUGAAUCAAGAUAUUGCGUCAAGGCUGGAGCUCACGUAUUGGGGAAGGAUCCGUUCCUCCCUUUACUCUGGGUUUCAGUUGCAAUCUAGAUUACAACUUCUUUCUCAGACAAAUGAAAAAAAUUCAUUGGAAGUUGGAGGCAAAAACAGGUCUGUGAUGCCCUUCGAUGUUCUGGGCUGCACGCGCGCUACAAUGACAAAGUCAACAAGUUUUUUCCUUGCUUGAAAGGGCUGGGUAAUCUCUAAAACUUUGUCGUAAUAAGGAUCGCUGAUUGAAACUAUUCGGCGUGAAUCAGGAAUGCCUUGUAAUUAUAAGUCAUCAGCUUAUAGUGAAUACGUCCCUGCCUUUUGUACACACCGCCCGUCGCUCCUACCAAUUGGUAUAAACGGUGAAAAGUUCGGAGACAACUUUCGUUCAGAGUCAAAUCUGAUGUUAGAUAUCAAAGUUCUUUAAAUCUUUUGUACUAGAGGAAGGAGAAGUCGUAACAAGGUUUCCGUAGGUGAACCUGCGGAAG